rnacentral:rRNA from 1 species
AGAGUUUGAUCCUGGCUCAGAAUAAACGCUGGUGGCAUGCUUUAUACAUGCAAGUCGAGCGAAGACUAGAUUUGUAGUAGAAAUGAUUAAUUUUCACUUUGUGGAGAUUAUGAGUUUUUGCUAUUCCUGGUCUUAGCGGCGAACGGGUGAGUAACGCGUGAAUAAUCUGCCCUUGAAAUCGGGAUACCAUUCCGAAAGGAAUGCUAAUACCGAAUAAUGUUAUGAAACCUAGGUUUCAUAACCAAAGUUGAAUCUUUGGAUUCUUCGUUCAAGGAUGAGUUCGCGUCCUAUUAGCUAGUUGGUGAGGUAAAGGCUUACCAAGGCUAUGAUGGGUAGCCGGCCUGAGAGGGCGUACGGCCACAUUGGGACUGAGACACGGCCCAGACUCCCACGGGAGGCAGCAGUAGGGAAUCUUCCCGCAAUGGGCGAAAGCCUGACGGAGCGAUA